UACGUAGGUGGCAAGCGUUGUCCGGAUUUAUUGGGUUUAAAGGGUGCGUAGGCGGUUCCUUAAGUCAGUGGUGAAAUACUUCAGCUCAACUGGAGAGGUGCCAUUGAUACUGGGGGAACUUGAGUACUGAUGAGGUAGGCGGAAUGGACGGUGUAGCGGUGAAAUGCUUAGAUAUCGUCCAGAACACCGAUAGCGAAGGCAGCUUACUAAAGAGUAACUGACGCUGAGGCACGAAAAGUGUGGGGGAUCAAAACAGG
rnacentral:rRNA from 1 species